rnacentral:rRNA from 1 species
UACGGAGGGGGCUAGCGUUGUUCGGAAUUACUGGGCGUAAGGCGCACGUAGGCGGACUCUUAAGUCGGUGGUGAAAUCCUGGAGCUCAACUCCAGAACUGCCUUCGAUACUGAGAGUCUCGAGUCCGGGAGAGGUGAGUGGAACUGCGAGUGUAGAGGUGAAAUUCGUAGAUAUUCGCAAGAACACCAGUGGCGAAGGCGGCUCACUGGCCCGGUACUGACGCUGAGGUGCGAAAGCGUGGGGAGCAAACAGG